UGAGCUUGAUCCUGGCUCAGGAUGAACGCUAGCGGCAGGCUUAACACAUGCAAGUCGAGGGGUAUAGUUCUUCGGACCUAGAGACCGGCGCACGGGUGCGUAACGCGUAUGCAAUCUACCUUUUGCAGAGGGAUAGCCCAGAGAAAUUUGGAUUAAUACCUCAUAGUAUAGCAGUUUCGCAUGAAACCACUAUUAAAGUCACAACGGCAAAAGAUGAGCAUGCGUCCCAUUAGCUAGUUGGUAAGGUAACGGCUUACCAAGGCUACGAUGGGUAGGGGUCCUGAGAGGGAGAUCCCCCACACUGGUACUGAGACACGGACCAGACUCCUACGGGAGGCAGCAGUGAGGAAUAUUGGACAAUGGGCGCAAGCCUGAUCCAGCCAUGCCGCGUGCAGGAUGACGGUCCUAUGGAUUGUAAACUGCUUUUGUACAGGAAGAAACACUCCCUCGUGAGGGAGCUGACGG
rnacentral:rRNA from 1 species